CGCCGGCGCUCCGCGUACUGAGAGGCGGAGGCCGUGCCUGGCCAGCCGCUCUUAAAGGGACGCCCACAGCUCACACGCUCCUCCUGCUGCCUGAGACUCCGAGAGCCGCUCUCCCAGGCUCCCCGCUGCAGCGGCGGGGCUGCCAGGGGCGGCACACUCCAGCGCCAGCCAGAGAGCUAGCGCCGCUUGAGGCCGGCCGGGGACGAGGCGCUUUACACUGCCUGAUGGGUACUAGCAGCCCACCCCAGCCAGAUGGAGGACAAGGCCUCUCCAAGUCUCAAGGAAAUGCACAAUCCUUCCUUACCUCUGGCCUCAGAACUCUCAGCAUCUCAUUGAUUAGCAACCUCAUCUGUGGCAAAUCUAAGGAACACCUUCUACUUAAAAUUGAAGUCUUCUGGGCUGGGUGUGGUGGCUCAUUCCUGUAAUCCCAGCACUUUGGGAGGCCAAGGAGUGCGGAUCACGAAGUCAGGAGUUCGAGACCAGCCUGGCCAACAUAGUGGAACCCUGUCUCUACUAAAAAUACAAAAAUUAGCCGGGUGUGGUGGCACAUGCCUGUAGUCCCAGCUACUCGGGAGGCUGAGGCCUCUGAGCCCAAGCUAAGCCAUCAUAUCCCCUGUGACCUGCACGUACACAUCCAGAUGGCCGGUUCCUGCCUUAACUGAUGACAUUCCACCACAAAAGAAGUGAAAAUGGUCUGUUCCUGCCUUAACUGAUGACAUUGUCUUGUGAAAUUCCUUCUCCUGGCUCAUCCUGGCUCAAAAGCUCCCCCACUGAGUACCUUGUGAUCCCCACUCCUGCCCACCAGAAAACAACCCCCUUUGAGGACAUGCAUGAAAUUUGGUGCCGUGACUCAGAUCGUGACCUCCCUUGGGAGGUCCUCCUGUUCUUUGCUCCUUGAGAAAGAUCCACCUAUGGUCCUCAGACCGACCAGCCCAAGAAACAUCUCACCAAUUUCAAAUCUGACAGGAAUAUCAGGCCUGUGAGCCCAAGCUAAGCCAUCAUAUCCCCUGUGACCUGCACGUACACAUCCAGAUGGCCGGUUCCUGCCUUAACUGAUGACAUUCCACCACAAAAGAAGUGAAAAUGGCCUGUUCCUCCCUUAACUGAUGACAUUGUCUUGUGAAAUUCCUUCUCCUGGCCCAUCCUGGCUCAAAAGCUCCCCCACUGAAUACCUUGUGACCCCCACUCCUGCCCACCAGAGAACAAUCCCCUUUGACUGUAAUUUUCCUUUAUCUACCCAAAUCCCAUAAAACAGCCCCACCCCUAUCUCCCUUUGCUGACUCUCUUUUCGGACUCAGCCCGCCUGCAC
rnacentral:lncRNA from 10 species